AAAUUGAAGAGUUUGAUCAUGGCUCAGAUUGAACGCUGGCGGCAGGCCUAACACAUGCAAGUCGAACGGUAACAGGAAGCAGCUUGCUGCUUCGCUGACGAGUGGCGGACGGGUGAGUAAUGUCUGGGAAACUGCCUGAUGGAGGGGGAUAACUACUGGAAACGGUAGCUAAUACCGCAUAAUGUCGCAAGACCAAAGAGGGGGACCUUCGGGCCUCUUGCCAUCGGAUGUGCCCAGAUGGGAUUAGCUUGUUGGUGGGGUAACGG
rnacentral:rRNA from 2 species